AGUCGCGCCACGGGUCGCCACUCACUGUCGCAGGAGGAAGGGUGCUGUCCCGCGCGGGUGCUGAGACCUCAUUCCGGAGAGGCGGCGGGAGGAAGGGCUUUGAUGGGUUCUUCCGUCCCGGCCCCACAAGGCUGGGACGAAAAGCAAAACCCAGUCAGCAUCCCGUUGAGCCUCUGCCGCCCCUGCUUGUCUCUCCUCCCCCGCUCUCAAAAAUGGCGGCUCUCGGGGCGCGGAAGAAAGCAUCGAUCGUUCGGCGCUCUGCCCACUUGGCGGGGCGAAACUAAACUCGCCGAGGAAAGAUAAGGGGGCGGGGCUGACGUUGAGAAAGCUGGAGGGCAGGGAAAUGGGCCGAGUCCUGCAUCAUCCACCGAGUGGGGGCUGUGGAUAGGUGCGGCGCUGCUUCCCUGGAGGGAAACGCUCCAUCUUGCGGGCCGAAGCGCGAGUGCUGCUCUGUGACAGCCUCCGGCCGCGGCCUUCCCAGCUGCUACCGCCGCUUUUCGGAUGGGCUGUGAUAGAUGGAGUAGCAGCGAAGACUGCUAGAAGAGCGUUUUCAGUCGGCCUUUAGUGAUUCGUAAAACCAAAUUAGCUGGUUUCUACUUGGAAGGGGUACAGAAGAUCAAACUCUCCCAAAAAGUAGAGAUUAAACAACAACUAAAGAUGGCGAAUCAUAGAAGAGAACAAUAGAGUGAAGAAAAAGGAUGUUUAAGCCUAAAUCCAAGACUGAGGUACAAGACCAAGAAAAGUGGGGCAGAAGAUGGAAAAGAACAAGUGAAGAAUCUUGGAAACAAUUCAAAGAUGUGAUCGAGUACACUCAGGUGGUAUGGCCAUGGACUCUAAAAGUUUUUAAAAGUCUUCAAAACUUUUAUGCAAAAUAUGCAUAAUGAGCUUAAUAAGCAACUUUUCUACCUUAGGGUAUAAAGGUAAAACUUUUUUCUAAGUGACUUCAACUCUGUUUUAUCAAAUCCCCCUGACUCAUCUCUUAAUGAUACCUCAGGAAAAUCCCAUAGAUUUUCAGUCACAUUCAGUUAUUUAAAAUUCAGCCUAGUUUGAUGUACUUUUUAUUUUUUUAUUUUUUUUUUAAUUUUCUGAGACAGAGUUUUGCUCUUAUUGCCCAGGCUGGAGUGCAGUGGCGCGAUCUCGGCUCACUGUAACCUCCACCUCCCAGGUUCAAGUGAUUCUCCUGCCUCAGCCUCCUGGGUAGCUGGGAUUACAGAUGCCCACCACCAUGCCAGCUAAUUUUUUGUAUUUUUAGUAGAGACGAGGUUUCACUAUGUUGACCAGGCUGGUCUUGAACUCCUGACCUCAGGUGAUCCACCCAUCUCGGCCUCUGAAAGUGCUGGGAUUACAGGGGCGUGAGCCACUGUGCCCAGUGCCUAGUUUUACCUACUUCUGUGCACGAGUGUCCCUUCCCCAUCAAUGUUAGCCAGCUUGUGGUCCGAGGAACUUGAAAUGGGAAGGGAAACUCCUUCCUUCACUCCUAGUUAGAGCUCUUCACAGAUAAAUAUGGUGGAGUCUCCUUCAGCACAGGUAUAAUGAACUAUAGACUAUGAACUUCAUUAUUUGUUUAUGGGAAGUCAAUGAAGCCAUUAAGACUUUUAUCUACCAUUAUCAACCAAGGCUUUCAGUGAUGUAUGUCUUGUGCGAACUCAGAAUAUAACAUUUCACAAUUCGUAGGAUGUGGUAGCCGCUUUAUAACCAUACAAUACUGUUCAUUCAAGAAAGAUUUAUUACUUUGUGUCAGACACUGUGUGAUGUAAGUCAAAUGAUAGCACACACACACACACACACAAAUAGAUUUCAUUUGGAUGUAUCACAUUUUAAAAAGGUGAAAACAUGGUGCUAGUUAGUGAAAACAAAAUAUUUUAUUUUUAUUGAUGCAAAAUUAAUUUAAGUGAUCUAACUCUCUAAAUAUCUGAAGGUCCCCACUGGUAUUAAUAGUUCAGAUUGACAUAAACUGACCAAUACUAUUAAUAAAAGGAAACGUGUACUGAGUAGGUACUCUGUGCUUUUGUGUUAAGUGAUUUAUACAUUGUAUUUAAUCUAGUUAAUAAUCUGAUGAGCUAGUUAGUAAUAUUAUUCAUAUUUUACAAUGUGAAAACUGAGUGUGAGUGAUCAUUACACCAGCUUAACUUUACCUACCUGCUAAGCCAGCCUUAAACUCCCAUUCAAAAGCCAGCUAAGCAAGCCCAAUUGGCUGACUGGAUCCAUGGUGUUUGUAUAGAUAACAAUACACUUAAAAAUUGGUUAAAAGGGUAAAUUUCAUGUUCUGUGCUUUUUAACCACAGUCUAUAUAAUAAAUAAAUAAAUAAAUAAAUAAAUAAAUAAAUAAAUAAAUGUUGUAUGACAAUAAUAUGUAGCCAACAAAAUUAUGCUUUCUGUGAAUUUUAGUGACAUGAAAAAAUGCAUAUAAUGUGAAUGAAGAAAGCAUUAUACAAAACCUGAUAUACAAUAUGAUAAAAAUGAUGUAAGAUAUACAUGUGUGUAAAAUUAUAUAUAAGUAAAUCCAUAAAUUCAUAUGUAUUUUAUGUUUGUAUGUUACAUAUAGCAAAUAAAUAUGUGUAAAUGUAUAUAUACAUAUAUAGAUAUAUUUUUCUUUUUUGAGAAGGAGACUUGCUCUGUUGCCCAGUCUGGAGUGCAGUGGCACAAUCUCAGCACACUGCAACUUCCACCUCCUGUGUUCAAGUGAUUCUCCUGCCUCAGCCUCCUGAGUAUCUGGGAUUACAGGCCAACCCUGCUUAUUCCUGUAAACCAACCAGUGAUCUCUGGCUGCUGCUUAGAAGAAACAAGAGGGAUGGCUAAUUAAACAGGUUGAAGUAAAGGAGCCAGCCCAAACCCACCAAAACCAAAAUGGUGACGAGAGUGACAUCUGGUCGUCCUCACUGCUACACUCCCACCAGCACCACGACAGUUUACAAAUUCUAUGACAAUGUCAGGAAGUUACCCUAUGUGGUCUAAAAAGAGGAGGCAUGAAUAAUCCACCCCUUGUUUAGCAUAUCAUCAAGAAAUAACCAUAAAAAUAGGCAAUCUGCAGCCCCCAGGCUGCUCUGUCUAUGGAGUAGCUGUUCUUUUUUUCUUUUACUUUCUUAAUAAACUUCCUUUCACUUUGCACUGCAGACUCGCCCUGAAUUCUUUCUUGCAUGAGAUCCAAGAACCCUCUCUUGGGGUCUGAAUUCAGACCCUUGUCAUGUAACAACCAGAGCACCCCCGGGUUUAUAUUUAGUGAUCCUUUCAUUCCCUCAUACAAAUGCUCAUUAUGUAACAAGUCAGAAACAGCUUUUCUAGUCUUUUAUAUGUGGUAUAAUCAUUAUGACUUAAAUACACAAUGUGGGUGUCAUAAGGCAGAAUUUUGUAGGUGUUUUAACAGAUACAUAAAAGGGAGAAGUAAAUUUGGACUAGGAAAAUCCAGAUAAGCUCCAUGAAGAAGACUGCUGGAGAGUUAAGCUUUGAAGGAUGAGUGAGGGUGUAAGAAGCAGACAUAGGAGACAGGACAUUCCAGGUAUUGGAGGGUCCCAAUGCCAUGUGAAGUAUGGGAAAGGGACUAUUAAAUGUGUUGGAUACUUCAAAAUAAUGUUACAUCUUCAUAGCUAUGUUAUAUUCUCUUGACGUGUGUUGCAAGUUGCUGGAAUAUUUUACUGACACCCUGUAGCUAAGAUUUUUUUCCAGACUCAAAGAUAACUAGUGGGCUGGCCAGUGGUCUAGGAAAUAAUCAGGCAGGUGAUUUCAGCAUAAUGAGUUAAGUGGAUACAGCCCCUGGCUGAGGGCUAUUCUUAUGUGACACUGGCAGAGUUUCAGAACUACUUAGGUGGGCUUAAGCAUUUAUUUAUUAUCUUUUAUGUUCUAGGCACUAUUGUAGGCAGUGGAAAUGUGGCAAUAGACAAGCUGUGGCUCUGCUUUCCUGGCGGUAACAUUCCAAUACAUAAGAGGGACACUAAAAAGGUAAAUAAAAAAUACACUGAUUUUAGCUGAUCUCAUUUCACAGAGGUCAGCGCACUCUCCCCUCUCUGAGAGUGUUACUAUGCUUAAUAAACUUUUGCUGCUUUGCUGAAAAAAAAAAGUGAAUACAUUGAUUUCAAGGUAACUCACGUUGUUUCAUGAUAUAUAAAAAAUAAAAACAGGUUGUUGUGAUAAGGGAAGUGAUGGAUGGAAAUGCCCCUCCAGGGAACAACUUUUUAGUAAGAUCUAAAUAAUAGGAAGACACGUGAAAAGAAGCCAGUAGGCAGAAAUCAUGAGGAAGCAAAACUAGGCAAUCAGAAACAGAAGAGAGGUAAAAACAGGUGGAGAGAAGACACAGAGAACUCAACUAACCAGAAGGGCUGUUGGGUUUCCAGAACUAUUGCUUGAAUUUUGACUUCUAGGGUCCCUGUUGGCUCCUGAAUAGAUGCAUAAGUAGAUGCAUAUGCUCCAUUUUCCAUCUUUAUUCUGUUAUAAUAUAUUCCUAUCUAUCUAACAUCUAAUGAUCUAUUGAUCUAACUGUCCAUCCAUCCAAUCAUUUUCAUAUUGUGGGACAGUUAGGUUGCUGCCAGUUUUUAGCAACACAAGGAGCAAGACAGCAGUGAACAUUCUUGUACACACUUUAUCAAGUACAUGGUAUGGGAUUUUUGCAUGUACCUGGAAUUGAAACUGCUGGGUGGUAAAGGAUGUCUACCUUUAACUUGAUAAAAACCUGCAAAAUUGUUUUCCAAAGUUUUUACAAAUAAAUUUACUUCUCCACAAGAAAUGUACACUUGGCAUUAUCAGACUUCAAAAUUUUUUCCAAUCUAAUGGUGUGAAAUGG
rnacentral:lncRNA from 10 species